rnacentral:rRNA from 1 species
CGACGGUGAGUACACGUAUCCAACCUGCCGUCUACUCUUGGACAGCCUUCUGAAAGGAAGAUUAAUACAAGAUGGCAUCAUGAGUUCACAUGUUCACAUGAUUAAAGGUAUUCCGGUAGACGAUGGGGAUGCGUUCCAUUAGAUAGUAGGCGGGGUAACGGCCCACCUAGUCUUCGAUGGAUAGGGGUUCUGAGAGGAAGGUCCCCCACAUUGGAACUGAGACACGGUCCAA